UGGGGAUGGGGUGACCUGGCAGCCUCAAUUUCAUCUAAGAAAGACUGGCUUGAUGCCCAGCCUGUAGGUACUUGAAAUGUCAUGGGGCCUUGGUAGACCUUCCUGGAUUCAUCUUCCAUUCCUUCCCUUCAGCAUGGACGAAAUCUCAUCCCUACUGAACUGAUAGAAAACAAAUGGGUGAGACUACAAGACUCCCGGAGACUAAAGAGUACUUUCUUUAUCUAGAAAAUGGAGCCAAGGCCACCGAUUCUGACAAGAACUGAGGAAAAAAAGAACUGGAGGUAUGAGAUGCCAUUGGAGAAGCUGUCUUUUCCACCUCCAUGCCUCAAUUAAAAGGUAAGAUAGUGAAGCAGGAGAUUUGGCUAGAGGAACUGAGACUUCAAGCAACCAGCCAGCAGUAGCCAAGUGGCAACUGGGAGAGAAAUAUGGGCCCGAAUUUGGGGAGACACCACAUAGAACACCAAUGGAAAGAACUUGGCCUUCUCCUGAACUCAGGACUAACGGAGGUGGAAGAGCUAGCCAGAGAGUGAAACAUAUGCCUGGUGUUGUCAACUCUUGCCUGUGUAAGGAUACACAAUGAGAGUGAAGACCUCAAUUGACUUUCCAGUCCAAUUUCCACAGCAUGACAAAGGAGGUGCUUACGGAUGGCACACAGCUGGCAACAACUUCCUCCUCACUGGAUAGCCCCUCUUCUGUCUCAAGCAGUAUCUUUCCCCCUACCUACCUCAUGGAGGGGACUUGUUGGUCUCAAAGGAGGAAUUGUCAGAGCUUCUCAGAAACCU